CACGUAGGGUGCGAGCGUUGUCCGGAAUUAUUGGGCGUAAAGAGCUCGUAGGCGGUGUGUCGCGUCGGCCGUGAAAACCUGCAGCUUAACUGUGGGCUUGCGGUCGAUACGGGCAUCACUGGAGUUCGGCAGGGGAGACUGGAAUUCCUGGUGUAGCGGUGAAAUGCGCAGAUAUCAGGAGGAACACCGGUGGCGAAGGCGGUUCUCUGGGAAUGUUCUGACGCUGAGGAGCGAAAGUGUGGGGAGCGAACAGG
rnacentral:rRNA from 1 species